GACGAACGCUGGCGGCGUGCUUAACACAUGCAAGUCGAACGGAAAGGCCCUGCUUUUGUGGGGUGCUCGAGUGGCGAACGGGUGAGUAACACGUGAGUAACCUGCCCUUGACUUUGGGAUAACUUCAGGAAACUGGGGCUAAUACCGGAUAGGAGCUCCUGCUGCAUGGUGGGGGUUGGAAAGUUUCGGCGGUUGGGGAUGGACUCGCGGCUUAUCAGCUUGUUGGUGGGGUAGUGGCUUACCAAGGCUUUGACGGGUAGCCGGCCUGAGAGGGUGACCGGCCACAUGGGGACUGAGAUACGGCCCAGACUCAUACGGGAGGCAGCAGUGGGGAAUAUUGCACAAUGGGCGGAAGCCUGAUGCAGCAACGCCGCGUGCGGGAUGACGGCCUUCGGGUUGUAAACCGCUUUCGCCUGUGACGAAGCGUGAGUGACGGUAAUGGGUAAAGAAGCACCGGCUAACUACGUG
rnacentral:rRNA from 1 species